AGAGUUUGAUCAUGGCUCAGGAUAAACGCUGGCGGCGUGCCUAACACAUGCAAGUCGAACGCCCUUGUACGCGAGUGCAAGGGAGUGGCGGACGGGUGAGUAACACGUGGGUGAUCUACCCUCUGGUGAGGAAUACCGGCGAGAAAUCGCCGACAAAACCGCAUGAGCUUGGAAACAAGCAAAAUCGUAAGAUGCCAGAG
rnacentral:rRNA from 1 species